rnacentral:rRNA from 1 species
ACACGGGGGGCGCAAGCGUUAUUCGGAAUUAUUGGGCGUAAAGGGCGUGUAGGCGGUUUUAUCGGUCAGAUGUGAAAGCCCAGGGCACAACCCUGGACGUGCAUUUGAAACAGUAAGACUUGAGUACGGUAGAGGAAAGCGGAAUUCCUGGUGUAGAGGUGAAAUUCGUAGAUAUCAGGAGGAACACCGAUGGCGAAGGCAGCUUUCUGGACCGAAACUGACGCUGAUGCGCGAAGGCGUGGGUAGCGAACAGGAUUAGAAACCCGAGUAGUCC